GGACCUCGGAUAAAACAAACAACCCUCCUAGCUAGCCCAAUUAACAUAGGGCAGGCUCAGGGGGAGGAGAAAAAAAAAAAAAAAACAUAAAAAGAGGAGCCAAAAUUGAGCUGGGUGCUUCUCUUCUCUUCGCAUCUUUUGGGUCAGCCCGCCCUCACGCCUUGAGGAUGUAUUUUCCUUUGCUUGCCAAUAAAACUGAGCUAUAACACCGAUUUGUCCAUUCCUUCAAAUUUUUGCUGCAGCAAGACAGAACUGAGGAAAUUACAUACUCCCCCGACAUAUAUGGUGCAGUGAUUCAGAUUUAACCUGGCUGAAACUACCUCGGCUCUGCCCCCACAAGGCAGAGGCCAAGCACAGCAGAAGCCCAACGCCGUGAAAGCUCCCGAAGUGGAAGCUGAACACGAAGAAAACCCAGCGGAGUGGAAGUGACAAGAAGCCUACCGUGCUGGAAACCGGGACAGCAAAAACAAACUUGGCAGAAAGCUCACGCAGCUCAGUCUCAGACUCCAGAAGACUUCGGUUAAGGUAGAAAGUCCUCGCUCCUAUGGCUGGAAGGAUAUAUGGCUAACAAAAUCUUAAUUCCUUUACAAUCUCUUGUUUCUUGUUUCCUCAAACCACCUGCGAACAGGUGAGCAGCAGUGGAUGCCCCAGGGUAUCCCGAAGGUGCCCUGGUAGCUGUUGCCCAAGCAGAUGGGGGUUCUUCAGUCCUUAAUCUUUGUGCCAAGGAUCAGGCCAAUGAAAACUGUGAGCAUAGGUCAGGUAUUUAGCAGAUCUUCUGGCAGGGCACAUUUUUCCCACUGCUUUUUCCUCUCAUCCUUCAGCUCCUCUCUCCUGGGACUUGAGCCCAGCCAAAACCCAUGGUGACUGGCUUCAGGACCUAGUGAAGUUCAGGCUCUGAUGUCACCUAAUGAAGCUCAGGCUCUGAUGUCUCAUUACAAAAAUCCAGUGAGAGAGACACAGUAAUAGGAGUGAAGCAGCCUGCUCCAGCCAGCGCACCUGUCACAGAUAACCAACAUGGGGCUAGAGCCAAGGGUGCAACUGGAUGUGGCAGGUCAACAGGCUACAAUAUGCACUGCCAGUUUAACAAGGAUAUAUAAAACUACAGCCGACCAUGGAAAAUAUCACUCACCCUUAGAUGGACACUGCUAUAAGGACUCUGAGGCUUGAGACUAGCAAGAGGGCGAGGCUCAAUGCCCCUUGCUAUCCCAGUUCUGCAGGAAGUAGCCAGAGAGACCUCGAAGCCCCUAUUCCCAAAGAAUUGGGCUUCCCAUCUCUUGAGGGGGGAAUGUUAGGAAGUUAGAACAGAAAAAAGGAGUCCAAAAUGGCAGUGGCUAAAAGACAAAGAAGGAAAAAGCAUGAAAAUAGGAACAAAGGAAGGUCCCAGGACCACAGUAAGGACCUCAGGUAAAACAAACAGCCCUCCUGGCUAGCCCAAUUUAUGUUGGGCAGGUUCAGGGGGUGGAGAAAAAACAUAUAAAAAGAGAUGCCAAAAUUGAGCCGGGGCUUCUUUCUUCGUGUCUUUUGGGUUGGCCCACUCUCACGCCUAUUUUCCUUUGCUUACCAAUAAAACUGAUCUAUAACACUGA
ensembl:lncRNA